AUGAAUUUAGAGAAAUCAGGUCUUUCUAUGGUCCUGUUUUGGGCUUCUGACCUCAACCCAGAGACAGAGCACUGGGCCACGUUGCCGGCUGCUGUGGGGACCCUGCUGAAGGUGCUGGAGUUCUGCCUGGAGAAGAGACACCUGCCCAGUUACUUCCUGCCGUCCAUUAAUUUCUUCGACUGGCACCGGACUGAGGAGGAGAAUUCCCUGAGGAACCUGGGGCUGGAGGCGCUCAGACUGGAGGUGAGGCUGAUGAGAUGCAGCCCAGAACGGUACCUGCAGCUGUGCUACGACCUGGCCAAGCCCCCAGGCCCGGGACCCUUCGUCCAACGGGCGCGGGAGCUCGACGCCUUUAGAAGGGAGCAUCGGAACGACUUGGAAGAGUUCAAACACCUGAAGGAAGGAAAACAGCCGGGACAGGGAGCUGCGAGUGUCUUCUUUGCCCAACACAGACACCUGGGCUCGUGUCUGCAGUUAAAUAUGCUACGCCAGGAUUUCUUAAACUGGGGGUCGGGACCCCUCCAGGGGCCGUGAGGUUAUUACAUGGGGGGUCGCGAGCUGUCAGCCUCCACCCCAAACCCCGCUUUGCCUCCGGCAUUUCUAAUGGUGUGAAUGUGUUUUUAAUGUAUAAGGGGGGGUCACACUCAGAGGCUUGCUGUGUGAUAGGGGUCACCAGGACAAAAGUCUGAGAGCCCCUGGUCUACGCUAACUUCACUUGGCUUUGGAUUUAUCCCGGGGGAACAGAGUCUGCUUAAAAACCAUGAGCCUUGAUUUAAAACACAAUGUUUUUAAACAAUAAUAAAGGCUGGGUUCUGUUCA
rnacentral:lncRNA from 1 species